ACAGCACGGGCGGCUCCGGCACGCUUUGCCUCGCUGUGUUCCGGUGCCGCACUGCUGCGGGAGGACGGGGCCAGCGCUCCAAAGGCCAGCGCAGAGCGCUGGCGAAUGGGAGGCGAGGAAUGCUUGGGCUAAGGAUGGAUUGAAACCGGGCUGCCUGUAAGUGCGCAGAGAGACCUUUGUCAUCCACGCUGCCAAAAGGAGCACCUGGUACACCCUAUAGGUGUGCCUUGUGUUGCACGUGUUUUCAUUUCCUGUUUGUGUCAUCCCAAAAAGCAGGGACGGAGCAAAUGGGACUGGUUUCCACUAUUGCUGUGUGAAGGCUUUUGACAGGCUGCUGCAUUGAUGUCCAUGCAGGAGAGUGGGAGAUGGGUCCCUGCUGGCUGCCGUGUCCUGGGUGGGCAGAGAGCUCUGACCUUGGCCAGAUGGGCUGGUUUCUGGGUGUUUUGAUCCUGACGUCGCCAAAACCUCAGAUUUGCUGAACUGGGGCUCUUACCUGUGUGACCCGUGAAAUGUCCCGGAAGCUGAUCGAUGUCUUUGUGC